rnacentral:rRNA from 1 species
GCCAUGCUAGUUGCACGGGUUUAGACCCGUGGCGAAAAGCUCCGUAACACGUUGUCAAACUACCCUAUGGAGGGGAAUAACCUCGGGAAACUGAGGCUAAUACCCCAUAUGGCUCCUCGCCUGGAGUGGCGGGAGCUGGAAAUGCUGCGGUGCCAUAGGAUGUGACUGCGGCCGAUUAGGUAGACGGUGGGGUAACGGCCCACCGUGCCUAUAAUCGGUACGGGUUGUGAGAGCAAGAGCCCGGAGACGGUAUCUGAGACAAGAUACCGGGCCCUACGGGGCGCAGCAGGCGCGAAACCUUUACACUGCACGACAGUGCGAUAAGGGGAUCCCCAGUGCGAGGGCAUACAGUCCUCGCUUUUCUACACCCUAAGGUGGUGCAGGAAUAAGAGCUGGGCAAGACCGGUGCCAGCCGCCGCGGUAAUACCGGCAGCUCAAGUGAUGGCCGCUAUUAUUGGGCCUAAAGCGUCCGUAGCCGGCCGAACAGGUCCGUCGGGAAAUCUGCUCGCUCAACGAGCAGGCGUCCGGCGGAAACCAGUCGGCUUGGGGCCGGAAGACCCGAGGGGUACGUUCGGGGUAGGAGUGAAAUCCCGUAAUCCCGAACGGACCGCCGGUGGCGAAAGCGCCUCGGGAAGACGGACCCGUCGGUGAGGGACGAAAGCUAGGGUCACGAACCGGAUUAGAUACCCGGGUAGUCCUAGCUGUAAACGAUGCCCACUAGGUGUGGCACAGGCUACGAGCCUGUGCUGUGCCGUAGGGAAGCCGUGAAGUGGGCCGCCUGGGAAGUACGUCUGCAA